ensembl:lncRNA
CCCCAGUGCAGAAAAGAAAACAAUACUCCGGGUCACUUGCAUUCAGCUCACAGUUUUUGAGAGGGUGUUAUCUCCAUGUUUAUCACAUUUUACAGGUGAGCCCAUGCACAGUUGAGAGAUUAUCCAAGUAAAAAAUUCUUAGACAUGCCGAGACUGAUCUGAAACACAAACUGUAGACCCCACGUGGAUGCACACCGUCUGGGCAGCUAUAUAACUGUCGGCAUAAGCAAUCACCAGACUCAGAGUUCCUCGUCGUCCCAACGAACACUUUAAACACUUCGGAGUAAGAAGAAACACCUUUGGCAUCAUGUCCAGGAUCACCGCGGUAACGAUCUUGCUCAUCAUUCUCGUCAACAGCUUGUGCAGCAGCGCAGGUGCGCAACGAUUAUUCUUUUUCACUUGUUCUGCAGAGAUGUAGAUGUCACAGUUUUACUCUGCAACAUGGCUGUAAACAGGUGACUCUGUUAAACUGUAGACUGUGACACUGGUGUUAUACAGAGCUGAUGGGUAAGGUAUCGCUGCUCCACAUGACUGAUGUCUUAUUUGUUAUCUUCUUCCACUGCAGCUCCUUCCCAUGGAGUAUCCCUGUAUAUUCGCAAGUGCAGAUGCACAGGUGAGUGACCAGUGACCACUUUCAUCUUCUUUGCGUAAAAAAAUGCAAAACAAACAAAAACAAAUUUAAAGACACAAAACAAAUAUCUUAGUUCUUUGUGUUGCUAUGGGCGUAUGUGAUGGUGUUUCCAAUUGAACAUUUAGGGAAUUUUCUCCUAAGUUCUCUGCUAUUAAAAACAUUCCUUUUUUAUGUGGAGACAGUUACAGUGACCAGCUGUCUUCUCUUGCAGAGAUUUCCACAGGCAGGUUUAAGUGUCCCAAACCGCUCAUGCCCACAAACUACAACAAGCAGCGAGAUGUGUUUAAAUGCGCCUGCAAAAAAAUACAAGAAGAGAAGCGUUCAGAUCUUCUGCAGUUCUGCCGUGUGAUCAAGAAAUACAACCUUGCUGAUCUGCUCUGAGAUAAAGAAGUCCAGACACUGACUAACCAAACUUAAUAUCCUAUUACGUAUGACAUUAAUCUUGUUAUGUAGAUGGUUGUGAUUUUUUCUGAAAUUGUAAAUAAAGACAGUUAUUUUUUUUAUUACAUAGAGUCUCGUCUCCUUCUGUGUUUCCACAUAUUUAACUGAAAAAGCCCUCAACCUUGAAAACAAAUAAAAUGAACAUUUUUAAUAUCCUAUUAUUCAUUUUUUGUCCUUUUUUUAGUAUUUUGAAAUUUUAAAAACAUGAAAGAGAAGCAAUUAUUGUUAUAUAUGAUCUGGUCUCACUCUGAAAUGUGUUCAUAGAUUUCACAGAGACAAUGACAUAAAUACACUGAUUAAUAGUGAAUCAUUUCUAUGGAGGAUUACUUGUUUCCCAGCUGCCUGGCCUCCAAUCUUCAUGUUGAACUAUAGUAAAAGAAGUUCAGCACAAAAGUGAGAGUGGUUUCUAUGUCACCCAGAGUUAAACAAGACAUUAAAUGGACAUUUUUCCCUAAAUAUCAUCAAAGUGUGUGUUGCUUUAAUGGCAGGAAUGCUUGUGAAAUAAAUGACUCAUUUCUUCAAUGCUGUUACAAAACCCUCACCACACAGGCAGGAAUGUCCACUGAUAUAUAAACUGAUGAUAAUGUUCAUCUUCUUUUUUUUUUUAAAGGUUUAUUUUUUUAUGCCUUCAACUGAAAACAACAAUAAAACAACAAAAUCAAGACACAGAAUCACUUUUCACAUGUUAGCCUCACACGUCCUGUUCUUGUCUUAUUGUCAGUUACUGUUAAUAAUCAGGUCCUACAUUUCUGAGCAGACAUAAUAUAUUUUCAGGCUGCAGUAUUUUUAAUGCUACUCGAGCUGAUUUCUGUUAGCUGUGGCCCCUGAAGAAGUAGACAAAACCUUUGUUUGAUGGAGGCAUCGAUUCACAACUUUAUCUGCCAAGACAAAGAGAAAUUCAGAUAUCAGCACACCAGCACUGCAUAUGUGGACAAUAGGACCUGCCUUUGCAAAUCAUUUUGUGUAACUUUCAAACUUUAAUAGUCAUUAUUUCCUUGAGUUGAAAGCACU